rnacentral:rRNA from 1 species
AGUGAACGCUGGCGGUAGGCCUAACACAUGCAAGUCGAACGGCAGCACAGUAAGAGCUUGCUCUUACGGGUGGCGAGUGGCGGACGGGUGAGGAAUACAUCGGAAUCUACUUUUUCGUGGGGGAUAACGUAGGGAAACUUACGCUAAUACCGCAUACGACCUACGGGUGAAAGCAGGGGAUCUUCGGACCUUGCGCGAUUGAAUGAGCCGAUGUCGGAUUAGCUAGUUGGCGGGGUAAAGGCCCACCAAGGCGACGAUCCGUAGCUGGUCUGAGAGGAUGAUCAGCCACACUGGAACUGUGACACGGUCCAGACUCCUACGGGAGGCAGCAGUGGGGAAUAUUGGACAAUGGGCGCAAGCCUGAUCCAGCCAUACCGCGUGGGCGAAGAAGGCCUUCGGGUUGUAAAGCCCUUUUGUUGGGAAAGAAAAGCAGCAGGUUAAUACCCCGCUGUUCUGACGGUACCCAAAGAAUAAGCACCGGCUAACUUCGU